rnacentral:rRNA from 1 species
UACGUAGGGUGCGAGCGUUAAUCGGAAUUACUGGGCGUAAAGCGUGCGCAGGCGGUUCGUUGUGUCGGCGGUGAAAGCCCCGGGCUUAACCUGGGAAUGGCCGUUGAAAUUGGCGAACUGGAGUGUGGCAGAGGGGGGUGGAAUUCCGCGUGUAGCAGUGAAAUGCGUAGAGAUGCGGAGGAACACCGAUGGCGAAGGCAGCCCCCUGGGCUAACACUGACGCUCAGGCACGAAAGCGUGGGGAGCAAACAGG